UCCGGUUUGUCACCGGCAGUCUCCCUAGAGUGCCCUUGCGUAGCAACUAGGGACAAGGGUUGCGCUCGUUGCGGGACUUAACCCAACAUCUCACGACACGAGCUGACGACAGCCAUGCAGCACCUGUGUUCCGGUUCCCUUUCAGGCACACCCGCCUUUCAGCAGGCUUCCAGACAUGUCAAGGGUAGGUAAGGUUGUUCGCGUUGCAUCGAAUUAAUCCACAUCAUCCACCGCUUGUGCGGGUCCCCGUCAAUUCCUUUGAGUUUUAACCUUGCGGCCGUACCAAGGUUGGUU
rnacentral:misc_RNA from 1 species